GAGAUAGCUGGUUCUCCCCGAAAUAGCUUUAGGGCUAGCCUCAGGGAAAAGAUUGCAGGCGGUAGAGCACUGAUCAGGAGAGGGACCUACCCGGUUACCAAACCCAGUCAAACUCCGAAUGGCUGCAAUCAUACCUGGGAGUCAGACUGCGACUAAUAAGGGCCGUAGUCAAAAGGGAAACAGCCCAGACCAUCAGCUAAGGUCCCCAAUGCCGUGCUAAGUGGCGAAGGAUGUGGCAUUUCAUAAACAACCAGGAUGUUGGCUCAGAAGCAGCCACCAUUUAAAGAGUGCGUAAUAGCUCACUGGUCGAGAGACGCUGCGCCGAAAAUGUCCGGGGCUCAAGCACGGAACCGAAGCUAUGGCAUGAUAGCAAUAUCAUGGGUAGGGGAGCGUUCUUAUAAGGAAGAAGCAUGACCGGAAGGACAUGUGGACGAAUAAGAAGUGAGAAUGCCGGUAUGAGUAUCGAAAAGAAAGGUGAGAAUCCUUUCCACCGAAAGCCCGAGGGUUCCUGAGCAACGAUCGUCGACUCAGGGUAAGUCGGGACCUAAGCCGAGGCGAGAAGCGUAGGCGAUGGACAACAGGUUGAAAUUCCUGUACCGGAUCAAGUCGAUCGAGCGAAGGAGCGACGCAGGAGGGCACAUGAUCGCGCGGCUGGAAGAGCGCGUCCAAGUGCGUAUGUUGCUGCAGAGGCAAAUCCCUGCAGCAGAAAGCAGAGACAUGAUGGGGAGUUAAAGGAAACUUUGACGAACUCAUGGAUCCCACACUGCCAAGAAAAACUUCUAGCGAGACAAGAUCCGCCCGUACCGUAAACCGACACAGGUAGGCGGGGAGAGAAUCCUAAGGUGCGCGGGAAAACCCUCGUUAAGGAACUCGGCAAAUUGCAUCCGUAACCUAGGGAGAAGGAUGGCCCCCGGUCAGUGAAGAGCAGAAACGCUCAGAGCUAAAAGGGGCGGCAGAAAAGAGGCCCAAGCAACUGUUUACCAAAAACACAGGUGCCUGCGAAAGCGAAAGCUGAAGUAUAGGUGCUGACGCCUGCCCGGUGCCGGAAGGUUAAGGAGAGAAGUUAGCAAAAGCGAAGCAUCGAACUGAAGCCCCGGUGAACGGCGGCCGUAACUAUAACGGUCCUAAGGUAGCGAAAUUCCUUGUCGGGUAAGUUCCGACCCGCAUGAAAGGCGUAAUGAUUUGGGCACUGUCUCAACGAGGGGCCCGGUGAAAUUGAAAUACCUGUGAAGAUGCAGGUUACCCGCGACUGGACAGAAAGACCCCAUGGAGCUUCACUGCAGCUUGAGAUUGAAUCCCGGUGACAGAUGCACAGGAUAGGUGGGAGGCGCCGAAGCAUUGCCCUAGGGCGGUGCGGAGCCGAUGUUGGGAUACCACCCUUCUGUUGCUGAGAUUCUAACGCGAGGAGUAACGACCCUGCGGACCCUCUCAGGCAGGCGGUUUGACUGGGGCGGUCGCCUCCGAAAGAGUAACGGAGGCGCC
rnacentral:rRNA from 1 species